GUCUGCUGAGAAUAUCAUUGUCACCGUCACAGGUACUAUUUGGAGAGAGAAGAGAAUGUGCUUGUUCCUUGUGGUUGCUAUUUGAAGAAAGGAGAGAGAACACUUGUGUGCCUGUGAUGGUGCAUACUAUGUGAAGAAAAAAAUCAGAAUACCCGAUUACCACCAUGACUUACAAUCAAGAACUUUUAAAAAGGGCCGUUAGACUGGGACUCAAGGAAAUCACAUAG
rnacentral:lncRNA from 1 species